GAUAAACGCUGGCGGCGCACAUAAGACAUGCAAGUCGAACGGACUUAACCAAUAUGUUUACAUUUUGGAGCGGUUAGUGGCGGACUGGUGAGUAACACGUAAGCAACCUGCCUGUUAGAGGGGAAUAACAGUGAGAAAUCAUUGCUAAUACCGCAUAUGCCAUAAUCAUCACAUGAUGAUAGUGGGAAAGGAGCAAUCCGCUAACAGAUGGGCUUGCGUCUGAUUAGAUAGUUGGUGGGGUAACGGCCUACCAAGUCGACGAUCAGUAGCCGGACUGAGAGGUUGAACGGCCACAUUGGGACUGAGAUACGGCCCAG
rnacentral:rRNA from 1 species